AUUAAGUUUUCAGCUAUUUCUUUGUGCAUAAAAAAAACUUUCAAAUCCUGGAUUACUUCUCCAAUUCUCUUUGUCUUCCUCAAAUUUCUUCUACCUGCUGGAUAUUUGAGACUUUUCACAAUGCUUAAUUGAGACACGGCUGUUAAACCUUGGAACAUGGCUUUUAUCUGAAGAUGAAUAGCCACAUAUCAGAACAAGGAUGCUCUUUGUUCUGAAACCUUUAUGCUCUUUGCUGGUUCGAGUAAAGUUCAGGAAAUUCAUCAAAAUUCUUAAUUUCAGGGGUUCUAUGUUGUUUGAUUAUGUCUGGAUACAAGGAAACUCAAACUAGUAGAUGCAAUCAAACCUUUUCUUUUGCUUUUGUAUUUGUGGAAUAAAAGGUAUGAAUCAUUAACGCUCAUUUUUUUCCUGAUUUUUAAUGUUUCUAAUAGGUUUUCAAUAUAUUUGCCUUGUAUUUUGAUGAUCUAACAAAGUUAAUGUCAAGAACCAGAUAGAGAACCUGACUCACUUGGAUUACACUACAUCUAACAGAUUCCAACCAAAUGUGAACUUGAUACAACUUUAGGAGUAGGAACCCAGACAAGGACCUGAUACUCUUGUGGGUUCCUCACGGUAGUACAAAGUCAAUUGGACACAUCUAGAAAUGAAGAUUCUGCCGCACUGCACUGUUUCCAGCGCCCACUUAUUCUCUGAUCAACUAAAGUACAAUGAUUCAAGUUACUCAACUCAAGACAAUCUGUGCAGUCUGCACAAGUACCAAAUCAGGAACCUGAUCCCUUGGUGCUCCCCUGACAGAAGUACAACUCAACUAUACAUCUGGAUCGCAACUGCAUAAAGUGACUAUCCGCAACUGUAGAAAGAGGAACACAACAGGGACCUGAUCCCUCAGAGUUCUCUGACAGAAGUACAAGUCAACUAUACAGCUGGAACACAACUGAGUGACUGUCCACAAAUGUACAAAGAGAAACACAACAGGGACCUGGUCCCUUAGGGUUCUCUAACAGAAGUACAAAGUCAACUAC